AAUAAAUGUGUAUGUGUCCUGAGUAAUGGGUGGCAGAGAAAGAAUGAAAUAUUGAUGGGAUUGUUCCCUGCGGCAGGCAGAGCACUGAUAGCCAUCACCGUGGGUGGCCCCACCAUGCUAUGUUCGGUCAGAAACCCGAGUUAUGACAACCGCCAAGGGGAAAUCUCCCCAUAAAUCUGUCCAUGGUUCACACCAUCUUUGCUGAAUCCCUCCUGGGGUCAUAGCCCGCAGGCACUCUGCCUCCUGGUGUCUUUUUCCCCACCCUUCUCCAUGACAUCCCCAUGCUUCCUGGUGUCUUUCUCCUCCUUAUAGCUUACUAGCUCCUUUAAGGUGCUAAAUCUAUUUUGCCAGUUAGCCUGCCAGCUAAGGGCAACCUCAUGGGGUUUCUCCUGUUUAACUAAAAAAAAUACUGACAUGAUGACAAUGUCUUGACUUGAAGGUGAAUUGGAUCUAAAUGAGACAGAACUGCACUCCUCCAGUCAUCUGAGUCCAGUGGCAAGCAAGACAAAGGACCUUGGAUGCAACACGUCACUGAAAGUUCCGAGGUCAAAAGCCAUCCCAGUCUUUUUCCAAGAUCUAUUGUCUCAUGGCCUUCUGGAGUCCUAUUCUUUCCAACUACCAAAAGGAGACUCACCAGAGAAUCUCACUGGAGUUUCCACCGUCACCUAAUAUUGUUCCCAGGCUCAGGAUCCACCACCAGUCAGAUCAAGCGAAUAGCCGACAAGUUGGAACUGCAAACUCAUGGUCCAUGCUGGUUUUUCUGUAGUGGGCAAUUCUAUUUUAAAACAUCCCACAUUGAGACUUUAAGCGACUUCCUUUAUAAUAAAAUGCCCCUACGCAACCCAACUUUUUCUUUUUUGUCACCCUCAGGAUUGAGAUUGCAGAGCUAAAAAGGAAAAAUUUGGCCAAAAUGGCAUCUUUACCUGUGAGCAUGAUGUUUCUGCCAGAACAUGAGCUCUUUGAGGACAAUAAUUGCUUUCAUUUAGUCUUUGAAUCCUUGGCACUGAGGACAGCGCUGGUGCAAGGUGUGGAGUGAAGAAGAUAGGCAACCCAAGGGCUAUCUUGGUACCCCUGACAUUUUAAAAACAUAUCUUUUUUUUUUUUUUUUUUUUGGUCUUUGCACUUGUUAUUUCAAACAUUCCUUUCCCAAUACUUUCCCAGUGACAAACACAGAAAACAUCUUAUACUGACCUAUCUGACAAAUAUAUAUAAAUAUGGCCCUCAUUACACCAUUUAUUUCAUUAUCUGCCUUCCUGGAACCCCAAUGGGUAAAGAUUAAAAGUACCAGAAAUAGGCCUUCAGUAAACUGGAGUCUUUAUGGAGAAUUAGAUGUUGGAAGAUGGAUGCAUUUAUUGACAUCUUCGGAAAAACUACCUAUACUGAAGACAGCAAAGACCCAGUUAUUUUUAUCCCACGGUGAUAUUCAGUUUUAUAAAAGUACCUCGGGGCCUACAAAGAGCCAGAGGUCACUAGGCCAGGAGGAACCAGCGGCUCAGUUGAGCCUUGCUCAACUUCCCACAGGACUACAGUGAGGCCCGGAGCUGGCAGGCUCGCCGCUCCUCCCUCACUCCAGGCACCUGGCAAGGCCCCAGCCUCAUUUCUUCCCCUGCUUCCCCUGGAUUCUCCAGGCAGCUUUUCUGACUGCACUAACUCUAAGCCAGUUCUGACUGGGAAGACCAGAGCUCCUCAGCAGUACAUUGUAGCAGGGAAAA